rnacentral:rRNA from 1 species
CAAAUUGAGAGUUUGAUCCUGGCUCAGGAUGAACGCUGGCGGCGUGCCUAAUACAUGCAAGUCGAACGCUUUGUGGUUCAACUGAUUUGAAGAGCUUGCUCAGAUAUGACGAUGGACAUUGCAAAGAGUGGCGAACGGGUGAGUAACACGUGGGAAACCUACCUCUUAGCAGGGGAUAACAUUUGGAAACAGAUGCUAAUACCGUAUAACAAUGACAACCGCAUGGUUGUUAUUUAAAAGAUGGUUCUGCUAUCACUAAGAGAUGGUCCCGCGGUGCAUUAGCUAGUUGGUAAGGUAAUGGCUUACCAAGGCGAUGAUGCAUAGCCGAGUUGAGAGACUGAUCGGCCACAAUGGGACUGAGACACGGCCCAUACUCCUACGGGAGGCAGCAGUAGGGAAUCUUCCACAAUGGGCGAAAGCCUGAUGGAGCAACGCCGCGUGUGUGAUGAAGGGUUUCGGCUCGUAAAACACUGUUGUAAGAGAAGAAUGACAUUGAGAGUAACUGUUCAAUGUGUGACGGUAUCUUACCAGAAAGGAACGGCUAAAUACGUGCCAGCAGCCGCGGUAAUACGUAUGUUCCAAGCGUUAUCCGGAUUUAUUGGGCGUAAAGCGAGCGCAGACGGUUAUUUAAGUCUGAAGUGAAAGCCCUCAGCUCAACUGAGGAAUUGCUUUGGAAACUGGAUGACUUGAGUGCAGUAGAGGAAAGUGGAACUCCAUGUGUAGCGGUGAAAUGCGUAGAUAUAUGGAAGAACACCAGUGGCGAAGGCGGCUUUCUGGACUGUAACUGACGUUGAGGCUCGAAAGUGUGGGUAGCAAACAGGAUUAGAUACCCUGGUAGUCCACACCGUAAACGAUGAGUGCUAGGUGUUUGAGGGUUUCCGCCCUUAAGUGCCGCAGCUAACGCAUUAAGCACUCCGCCUGGGGAGUACGACCGCAAGGUUGAAACUCAAAGGAAUUGACGGGGACCCGCACAAGCGGUGGAGCAUGUGGUUUAAUUCGAAGCAACGCGAAGAACCUUACCAGGUCUUGACAUCCCUUGACAACUCCAGAGAUGGAGUGUUCCCUUCGGGGACAAGGUGACAGGUGGUGCAUGGUUGUCGUCAGCUCGUGUCGUGAGAUGUUGGGUUAAGUCCCGCAACGAGCGCAACCCUUAUUACUAGUUGCCAGCAUUCAGUUGGGCACUCUAGUGAGACUGCCGGUGACAAACCGGAGGAAGGUGGGGAUGACGUCAAAUCAUCAUGCCCCUUAUGACCUGGGCUACACACGUGCUACAAUGGCGUAUACAACGAGUUGCCAACCCGCGAGGGUGAGCUAAUCUCUUAAAGUACGUCUCAGUUCGGAUUGUAGGCUGCAACUCGCCUACAUGAAGUCGGAAUCGCUAGUAAUCGCGGAUCAGCACGCCGCGGUGAAUACGUUCCCGGGUCUUGUACACACCGCCCGUCACACCAUGAGAGUUUGUAACACCCAAAGCCGGUGGGGUAACCUUCGGGAGCCAGCCGUCUAAGGUGGGACAGAUGAUUAGGGUGAAGUCGUAACAAGGUAGCCGUAGGAGAACCUGCGGCUGGAUCACCUCCUUUCUAAGGAA